rnacentral:rRNA from 1 species
UUUAAAGUCUAACCUGCCCAAUGAGGAUUUAAAUGGCCGCGGUAUUUUGACCGUGCAAAGGUAGCAUAAUCAUUAGUUUUUUAAUUGAAAGCUUGUAUGAAUGGUUGGACGAGAAAACUACUGUCUCAAUUUAAUUUUAAUUAGAAUUUUAUUUUUAAGUAAAAAAGCUUAAAUGAGUUUAAAAGACGAGAAGACCCUAUAGAGUUUAAUAUUUAUUUUUAUAUUAAUAAUUUAGUGUUUUAUUAAUUUUUAUAGUAAUAAGUAUUUUGUUGGGGUGACAAAAAAAUUUAAUAAACUUUUUUUUUAUAAUUACAUUAAUUUAUGAGUAUUUGAUCCAUUUUUUAUGAUUAAAAGUUUAAAUUACCUUAGGGAUAACAGCGUAAUUUUUUUUAAGAGUUCUUAUCGAAAAAAGAGUUUGCGACCUCGAUGUUGGAUUAAAAUUUACUUUUGGUGUAGAAGCUAAUAAGUUAGGUCUGUUCGACCUUUAAAAUUUUACAUGAUCUGAGUUUAAACCGGCGUGAGCCAGGUUGGUUUCUAUCUUUAAAAAUUAAUAAUAUUUUAGUACGAAAGGACCAAAUAUUAAUAAAAUUUAUUUUUAUUUUGAAUAGUAUUAUU